UACGUAGGGUGCGAGCGUUAAUCGGAAUUACUGGGCGUAAAGCGCACGUAGGCGGGCGAUUAAGUCAGGGGUGAAAUCCCGGAGCUCAACUCCGGAACUGCCUUUGAUACUGGUCGUCUAGAGAUCGGAAGAGGUGAGUGGAAUUCCCAGUGUAGAGGUGAAAUUCGUAGAUAUUGGGAAGAACACCAGUGGCGAAGGCGGCUCACUGGUCCGAUACUGACGCUGAGGUGCGAAAGCGUGGGGAGCAAACAGG
rnacentral:rRNA from 1 species